CUUGUCUCAAAGAUUAAGCCAUGCAUGUAUAAGUGUAACCUGCCAGACAGGGAAACUGCGUACGGCUCAUUACACCAGCUAUAAUUUACUUGACCUUGACAACUUACUUGGAUAACUGUGGUAAUUCUAGAGCUAAUACAUGCACCAAAGCUCCAAUCUCCCCAGAGCGGAGCGCAUUUGUUCGCCACAAAACCAAGCGCCCUCCGGGCGUCCAGUGUUGACUCAGAACAACUAAGCUGAUCGCACGGUCUUGCACCGGCGACGUGUCUUUCAAGUGUCUGCCUUAUCAACUUUCGAUGGUAGUGUAUCUGACUACCAUGGUGAUGACGGGUAACGGAGGAUAAGGGUUCGACUCCGGAGAAGGGGCCUGAGAAAUGGCCACUACGUCUAAGGAUGGCAGCAGGCGCGCAAAUUACCCACUCUCAACAUGAGGAGGUAGUGACGAGAAAUAACGAGACCGAUCUCUAUUGAGGCCGGUCAUCGGAAUGGGUACAAUUUAAACCCUUUAACGAGUAUCUAUGAGAGGGCAAGUCUGGUGCCAGCAGCCGCGGUAAUUCCAGCUCUCAAAAUGCAUAGAAUUAUUGCUGCGGUUAAAAAGCUCGUAGUUGGAUCUGUGCUAGCCGUCCGGUCCACCCUCUGGGUGUGCACUGGCACGGUUGGCUUUUUUGCUGGUCUCUCCCCGGCGUUGGCCUUCACUGGUCGGCGUCGGUGGGCUAGCGAGUUUACUUUGAACAAAUCAGAGUGCUUCAAACAGGCGUUUCGCUUGAAUGUUCGUGCAUGGAAUAAUAGAAGAGGAUUUCGGUCCGAUUUUAUUGGUUUUGCUGACCGAGAUAAUGGUUAACAGAGACAAACGGGGCCAUUCGUAUUGCUACGUGAGAGGUGAAAUUCUUGGACCGUAGCAAGACGGACUACAGCGAAAGCAUUUGGCAAGAAUGUCUUCAUUAAUCAAGAACGAAAGUCAGAGGUUCGAAGGCGAUCAGAUACCGCCCUAGUUCUGACCGUAAA
rnacentral:rRNA from 1 species